rnacentral:rRNA from 1 species
CCCCUAGAUGUUCUGGGCCGCACGCGCGCUACACUGAACAGUUCAACAAGUCUUAACCUUGGCCGAUAGGUCUGGGUAAUCUUUGAACGCUGUUCGUGAUUGGGAUAGACCUUUGCAAUUAUGGGUCUUCAACGAGGAAUUCCUAGUAAACGCAAGUCAUCAGCUUGCAUUGAUUACGUCCCUGCCCUUUGUACACACCUCCCGUCGCACCUACCGAUUGAAUGGUCCGGUGAAAUCUCGGGACGGCGGCUUGGUCGCUUGCGUCCGACUGCUGAAACUUGAUUAAACCAUAUCAUUUAGAGGAAGGUGAAGUCGUANCA